rnacentral:rRNA from 1 species
UACGUAGGGGGCAAGCGUUGUCCGGAAUCAUUGGGCUUAAAGCGCGUGUAGGCGGGCCUGCACGUCGGUCGCUGAAAUCCCCCGGCUCAACCGGGGAAGGGGCGCCGAUACGACCGGCCUGGAGGGGAGUAGGGGGACCUGGAACUUCCGGUGGAGCGGUGAAAUGCGUUGAGAUCGGAAGGAACGCCCGUGGCGAAAGCGAGGUCCUGGGCU